rnacentral:rRNA from 1 species
UACGUAGGGGCAAGCGUUGUCCGGAAUUAUUGGGCGUAAAGCGCGCGCAGGCGGUCCUUUAAGUCUGAUGUGAAAGCCCACGGCUUAACCGUGGAGGGUCAUUGGAAACUGAGGGACUUGAGUACAGAAGAGGAGAGUGGAAUUCCACGUGUAGCGGUGAAAUGCGUAGAGAUGUGGAGGAACACCAGUGGCGAAGGCGACUCUCUGGUCUGUAACUGACGCUGAGGUGCGAAAGCGUGGGUAGCAAACAGGAUUAGAUACCCUGGUA